rnacentral:ncRNA from 1 species
CAGUGCGGUAGAGGUGCGGAAUGAAUCAGUAAUGUUUGUUGGGGUGAUGCCAAUGAACAGGCAUGAAAGGUCUUCUCCGCCGAAGUGAACUGGUAUAUCAAAACCACUCGCUGGGGUUGCAUUCGAAUAGGAGCAACACUGCCAUAGUCUAUUAUUUUGUAUAACUAUGGAGCGCUACUGUAGGG